UGGGCUAUCGCCAAGCGGUAAGGCAACGGACUCUGACUCCGUCAUCAAAGGUUCGAAUCCUUUUAGCCCAG
rfam:Catonella morbi ATCC 51271 genomic scaffold Scfld0, whole genome shotgun sequence.